rnacentral:rRNA from 1 species
UACGUAGGGUGCGAGCGUUAAUCGGAAUUACUGGGCGUAAAGGGUGCGCAGGCGGCUUUGUAAGUCAGAUGUGAAAUCCCCGGGCUUAACCUGGGAAUUGCGUUUGAAACUACAAGGCUAGAGUGUGGCAGAGGGAGGUGGAAUUCCAUGUGUAGCAGUGAAAUGCGUAGAGAUAUGGAAGAACAUCGAUGGCGAAGGCAGCCUCCUGGGUUAACACUGACGCUCAUGCACGAAAGCGUGGGGAGCAAACAGG